GUGCCAGCCGCCGCGGUAAUACGUAGGGGGCGAGCGUUGUCCGGAAUUACUGGGCGUAAAGGGUACGUAGGCGGCUAUAUAAGUCAGGUGUGAAAUACCAGUGCUUAACACUGGAAUUGCAUUUGAAACUGUGUAGCUUGAGUGCAGGAGAGGAAAGUGGAAUUCCUAGUGUAGCGGUGAAAUGCGUAGAGAUUAGGAGGAACACCAGUGGCGAAGGCGACUUUCUGGACUGUAACUGACGCUGAGGUACGAAAGCGUGGGUAGCGAACAGGAUUAGAAACCCCGGUAGUCCCGAAA
rnacentral:rRNA from 1 species